AAGGGCCUUUGAAUCCUGGGCUUCAGAAAUUCCACCGCUGGGCGGGCAUGCCUUAACCACCAGGCAAGUUCCGAACGAGAAAAGUCCUUUCGGGGCGAGUAAAGCCGGCGUACGGGUGAGUAACACGUGGGUUAUCUACCUCUGGGUGGGGAAUAACUCGGGGAAACUCGAGCUAAUACCGCAUAAUACGGCAACGUCAAAGCAGUAAUGCGCCUGGAGAUGAGCCUGCGUCCGAUUAGCUAGUUGGCGGGGUAAUGGCCCACCAAGGCGACGAUCGGUAGCCGGCCUGAGAGGGCGGUCGGCCACACUGGCACUGAAAUACGGGCCAGACUCCUACGGGAGGCAGCAGUGAGGAAUUUUGGGCAAUGGGCGAAAGCCUGACCCAGCAAUGCCGCGUGAACGAUGAAGUCCUUCGGGCAUGUUAAAGUUCGUCAAGUCAGGUAGAAGAAUCCAUGACGGUUAUCCGUUGUUAGUCCCCGGUCUA
rnacentral:rRNA from 1 species